UACGGGGGGAGCAAGCGUUGUUCGGAUUUACUGGGCGUAAAGGGCGCGUAGGCGGCCACCGCAAGUCGACUGUGAAAUCUCCGGGCUUAACCCGGAAAGGUCAGCCGAUACUGUGGGGCUAGAGUGCAGAAGGGGCAACUGGAAUUCUCGGUGUAGCGGUGAAAUGCGUAGAUAUCGAGAGGAACACCUGCGGCGAAGGCGGGUUGCUGGGCUGACACUGACGCUGCGGCGCGAAAGCGUGGGGAGCGAACAGG
rnacentral:rRNA from 1 species